UCCAUUAAGUGCCCCCCCAAAACCCCUACUGCUGAGCAGGAGUGUAAUCAUCUGGCUACUUUGGGGUAGAGGAAAUGUCCUGUUGACUCUACCAUCAGAACAUAUCUAGAAACUAAUGAUAUUCCAACAGUUUGAUGGGUGUCACUCCAGUCCUAGCCACCUGUGAUGGUUAAUGUCAUGUGUCAACCUGGUUAGGUUACAGUGCCCAGUUGUUUGGGCAAACAGAAGUGUAGAUGUUGCUGUGAAGGUAUUGUUUAGAAGUGGUUAACAUAUAAAUCAGUUAGCUUUGAGUAAAGCAAAUUACCCCCUAUAAUAUGCAUGAGCUUCAUUGAGUCAGGUGAAGACCUUAAGAGCAAAGACUGAAGAUUACCAGAAAAACAGCAAUUCUGCCUCAAAAUUGUAAUGGGAAGACCCUGACUGAAUAGCCAGUUGGCACGGCCUGCCCUGCAGAGUUUGGACUCAAGACUGUAUCAUCAACUCUUAUCUGAAUUUCCAGCUUGCUGACUUGACCUAUGGAUUUUGGACUUCUGGCCACUACGCUCAACUCCGUGACUGCAGUGAGAGGAGUAGUGGAUCCCGGGAGCACAGAGACCAGGCUCUUCCCUGCUGCUGGCAAGAGCAUUGGGGUCCCACCACUUUCUCCAGACCUCCCAUUGACUCCAUUUCACAACCCCUUUCAUUGUUGCAAGCACCCACCCAGCAAGUCCAGGUGCUAAGGCUCCAGUCCCAACCAACACUUCUACACGAGGUAUUAGCCAAAACCAAGUUGUUGGUAUUUGGGUUUGGGGGGUGGUUGUGUGUGUAUGUGUGUGUAUGUCU
rnacentral:lncRNA from 1 species